rnacentral:misc_RNA from 1 species
GAAUUUUUCAAGGAACCAAUUGAGUCGAUUAAUGUGGAAUUGUGUCUUGACAACAUGUGCAGGGUAAUAAAAAAUAUAUAUGGUAGUUGUAAAAUGUAAUGUUGUGAACCCUCUUUCAGUAUGAUGUGAGAUGCGUAGAAUAUGGUUCCCAUAGUUAUCUUGAUAAAAUAACUCCACCACUGUAUUUUAGUGUAUCCUUUUGUUGAUCAUGUAAAUGUGAUAACUCUAUGAAGUGCGGAAAUGUGGCUUCUGCAAGAGUGAGUGAAUAUAAGCUAUUAUUUACUAUGGACUUGUGCAAUUACUUACCUAUUCAUUUU